AGCUAAAUUGGAAAACUUUUCUCGAAUCUUCUGCUAAACUUAUUCUGCUACCUUAAGUUAGCUUUUUUAAGAUGAACAAAUAAAUAAAUUUAAUUUAAUUUCUGAGAACAGCAUUUAUCAGUAAUGUUUAUGUUUUGUGCACUAUUUUUUGUGUGUAUAAAGUUACUGGAGCCCAACCUCUGCUGUAGCUGUUAGCUACGUGUCCUUCAGCGCUAGCCAUUUAGCCUCUCCCAACAUCGCUGAAAUGAGCCCCAUUUAAUAAUCAUUAAGCACCAGUCCUGUAUGUUUUUCUGCACUGGUAGGGUAAGUCCCAGCUGUUAUAUUGGCCAGUGAUCGUAUUUCAGAAGAGCUGCAGUGAAGUUGUGUGCAGGUUUUUCUGUUGCAUUAGCAUUAGUAGCCGCAUCCUUGCUUCCUCUCCCUGUGCCUCCUAAAUUGCUUUCCGGGUGGUCAUCAAUCAUUGAGGACCCUGGUGAUCUGACUGUUUAACAAUGACAAAUUUGGCUGCAAUAUUAUGUCAGAACCAAGCUAUUAUACUGAUGUUUAAUCAUGAAUGUUGGCUGUACAAUUUGCUAAUGAAUCUAUGCGCAAAUCAGCCUCAUGUCUGAAUGUGUUCAAUUACAUUUCUACUCCUCCACAUAAGUUAAAUUCUACAUAUAAUAAAAAUUUAGCUUCAGCAAAAAUGUUUUUGCGAUUUAUCAGUUUAGCUUUGUUAGAGUUCAUUUAACAGCGGUUAUCAACGCUAACUUUUCGGUUAGCUGUGCCCACCACUGUGCAUUAACAGCGACUGUUUUGUAAACUUUUUUCCCCCGUUCUACCUUUCUCAUUACUCUUUGUAGUGUUUGACUGAGAGAGCUCUGAUCUUGUUCAACUGGUGUAUUCUACUGAGAGGAAAAUUUAAUGAAAACUGCACUAUGUCAUUACAAAACUGUACUCUUGAUUUUAUUCAGUGCUUUUAGCAGUGGCUUUAUUUCAACAGCUCAGUCAGCUUGCUAGAACCACAUUUUACUUGAAAUGUAUGUCUUUUUUUGUUGUUGUUUGUUUGU